AUUGUUUAGCAGGUCAUAACAGAGCAUAGCAGAUGAAACUUAAACAUAAUAGAACAGAGCAAUAAAAAGAACAUGACCAGAAGUUCUAAGGUGAAUCCUAAAGUAUAGCAGGACAAUAACAGCAAGACAGCUAAAGUUCUAAAGUGAAUCCUAUGACAUAGUAGGGAAAGAGCAUCUAGUAUUCAUCAGUAGUUUCCUGUUCCUCUUGCUCAUCUUCCUCUUCUUCUUGACCAGCAUCAGGAUCCAGAUCUUCACUGCCACCACCAAUAUUGUGUUCUUUGAGUUGUUGUUG
rnacentral:sRNA from 1 species